UACGGGGGGGGCAAGCGUUGUUCGGAAUUACUGGGCGUAAAGGGUUCGUAGGUGGCUUGCUAAGUCAGACGUGAAAUCCCUCAGCUUAACUGGGGAACUGCGUCUGAGACUAGCAAGCUUGAGUGCAGGAGAGGAACGCGGAAUUCCAGGUGUAGCGGUGAAAUGCGCAGAUAUCAGGAGGAACACCGGUGGCGAAGGCGGUUCUCUGGGAAUGACCUGACGCUGAGGAGCGAAAGUGUGGGGAGCGAACAGG
rnacentral:rRNA from 1 species